UCCAGAGUGUGCAACAGCAUUGACUUUCAAGUUGCUAUCGACCGUGCAGUUUUGGAAAACUUCCAUGUCGCCAAAAUAAACUGGAGACCGGAGGGAUGUACAACUCUCAAUCCUGUAGUACUGUGGAUCCUCCUAACAUCAAUCCCAUCGCCAUUGUUCUGAGUUGCAUUGCGAUACUAUGUGUGUUGGCCUGUGGAUCUGUUCUAUGGUACAGGAAGUGUAAAUCACCCACACCCAAUAAUGUUUGCCUGCUGUUGACGACCUGCCUGAGCAUUCUCUCCGCCAGCCGUAUACCGUAUCCUCUCUGUGAGAUCCGAGACUUGACGCCGCCAGACCUGGUCUUUCUGCUGUGCUCUGCCUCUGUUACUGGAAUAUAUUUGUAGUUUGUCUAACGCACGUAUUGACGGCAGUUUCUGUUAAUUAUUUCAAGAAGAGGAUUUCUGUUCAUCUGGAC
ensembl:lncRNA